rnacentral:ncRNA from 1 species
AACAAUUCGAUGAUCAAGAGUAGUAGCCUUUUUAGACGCGUAACAGAGAGCCGGGGCAGGUGGGAACCGGUACGAUAUGAAAAGGGGAAUGGACUUGUGAGAGGUUCCUUGAAUGAGUAGUAGAGGAACACGGCUUCCACCGUUAUCGGGAUUAGUAUUAGGAUAAUAGAUCCUGUACUUAAAAAGAGGAGGAUGUUCCUACAAAAGUGUUAGACCUCGUGCCCUCUAUACAGUGAUGUAAUUACUGUAUAGAGGAUACGGGAUCAGAAACCCUUUUUAAGACAUCCUCAAUCUGAGGUGGCACCGCGGUGAAUGAAUCGUCCUCUGC